UAAUCUUUGGUGUAUAAGCACGAAAAAUUUUGAUUUUUUAAGAAAUAAUUGUUUUUAUUAAGAUUAA
rnacentral:tRNA from 1 species